UACGAAGGGGCUAGCGUUGCUCGGAAUCACUGGGCGUAAAGGGUGCGUAGGCGGGUCUUUAAGUCAGGGGUGAAAUCCUGGAGCUCAACUCCAGAACUGCCUUUGAUACUGAGGAUCUUGAGUUCGGGAGAGGUGAGUGGAACUGCGAGUGUAGAGGUGAAAUUCGUAGAUAUUCGCAAGAACACCAGUGGCGAAGGCGGCUCACUGGCCCGAUACUGACGCUGGGGCACGAAAGCGUGGGGAGCAAACAGGG
rnacentral:rRNA from 1 species